AUGCUGAGAACAAUAUGAAAGUGUUUUUCUUUUACUAAUUCUCUGAGGAUUUUGUUAUUUAUUUAGCUUUACAAUGCCUAGCCCCCUUUAUAAAUGUAAUUAUUGUGUUGCUAAGUGCAUGUAUACAAAAAAUUCAUUGGUUCAAAAGCCAUAGGCCUGGUACCAUAGCCAUAUAUGGUACGUUCAAACCUUGGAAAUGCACAUUCUCAGUGUGUCGGAAGCUCUGUACUGCUCCUUCUUGAAGAACUACUUUGAUUUGUGGUUAACUCGCUGUUUUGACUCACUGUUUUAACUCCCAUUACUUCAGUAUCUGACAUUCAGCCUCAGAAUCUGGCCAGUGUAUCAGGGCUGGAAUUAAUUGAUUAACACCAUUAGAUGGCAGUACUAUUUAAAUUCCAAAAAUGGUUAUAAACUCAUUCUCUAAAAUGUGUGUCAAAUAGAAUAUUUGACUGAUAAUAACUCUAAGAGCACAAAAGGAUUAAACACACACACAAGACAAAGUUUGGGAUAUACCCAUUGGAAAAACCCUUGGUCUCUUUAAAUUUUUUUUCAUAUGUAUGUAUAUUGCACAUAUUGCCGGCCUCUUUAUCUCUUUUUUCCUUUUUUUUUUUUUUUUUUUUGAGAAGGAGUCUUACUCUGUCACCCAGGCUGGAGCACAGUAGUGCAAACAUGACUCACUGCAGCCUUGAACUCCUGGGCUCAAGCGACCUUGUCACCUUAGCCACUGUGACCAGCCUUCUUUUCCCUUUUGACUUUGUUAUAUCACACUGACUCUAGAAAUGUGGUUCUUUAUUGGGGCGAUUUUGCCCUCCCCCGGGGACAUCUGACAAGGUCUGGAGACAUUUUGAUUGUGGGUAGGGGGAGGGACACUCUGCUACAGGCAUCUAGUUGGCAGAGCCCAGAGAUACCGCUACACACCCUACACUGUGCAGAACAGCCCCUACGGCCAGGAAUUAUCAGGCCCAAACAAAAUACCAAGUUAGUUUUUAAUUUCAAAGUUUACGCGUAACAUUAUUUUUUAGAUAUAAAAAAUAUUCACACAUUAAUUUGAUCACAAGAAAUUUUAAAGAAAUUUAAACAUUUUCAGAAAAGGCUACUUCAAGGUGUCAUGACAGCUUUGGACCAAACAUUAAUGUUCUAUAUGACUUUGGGCAAGUCAGUCAUGUUUAUUAGACUUAAUAACCCAGGUAACGUUAGCUGUUGGAGGGUUUUUUAAAAAACGUUUUAUUUUGAAAAAACUUCAAACUUAAAGGAAAAAUGGCAAGAAUACUACAAAGACCUAUUUAUUCAGAUACACCAGUUGUCACAAUUUUGCCAUAUUAACUUUAUCUAUUGAUCAAUUUCUCUUUCAGUCUAUUGACCUAUCUAUCUUGAACUAUUUGGGAUUAAGUUGUAGACAUCUGAUCCCCUUACCCUUAAACACUUUACCACGUCUUCCUAAGAAUAAGACCAUUACUCCACACAGUACACUUAUCUAAAUCAGGAGACAGCAUUGUUAUAAUACUGUUACCAAGUGGCAAGCUGGUGCACUGUCCAGACAGGGAGAGAGGGAGAGAGGACCUGAUUUGUAACAUUUGCCAGUUCCCAUGUGUGAUGGUUUACUUUGGUUCAUAACUACCAUUGUCCUUGUUACAGUCUUUUAUUAAAAUGUGGGGUGUGUUAGGCCGCAAGGGCAGGCCUCAAGAAACAGAAUCUCUCUCCUGCCCUCCUUUCACCUGCCCCAAGGCAGGAUUCCAUCUUCUCCCACCUUUCCAACUGUGGGUCUUAAGACUUUUCAGAGAGGGUCCUGCCAUACACACUGGGGGAAGGAAUGCUGACGUCAUGAAGCUUCCAUGAAAACUCAAGAGGACUGAGUUCAGAGAGCUUCCGGAUAGCUGAAAACAUGGAGGUUCCUGGUUCCUGGAGGGUGGCGCCCCAGGCAUGGAAGCUCUGAGCCCCUUCCUCCGCACCUCAUCUCUUCAUCUGUAUCCUUUGUAAUAUCCUUUAUUAUAAAACAGCAAAUGUGUUUCCCUGAGUUCUGUGAGCCACUCCAGCAAAUCAAUCAAACCCAAAGAGGGGGUCAUGGGAACCCCAACUUGAAGCUCAAUCAGAAUUUCCCAAGGCCCAGAUUUGCAACUGAUAUCUGGGGGUGAGGGUGGUCUUGGGGUCUGAGCCCUCAAUCUGUGGGAUCUGAUGCUACCUCCAGAUAGAUAGUGAAGGAACUGGGUGGAGGUCCUGGCUUGUGUCUGCCUCUUGGUGGUGGGGAGAAGUUCCCACACAUAUGGUCACAGGAGUCUUCUGUGUUGAUGAUUGCUGUUGUGGUGUGAGAGCAGAGGAAAAACACAGUUUGAGAGAGUUUUCCCAAAAUACCAUGCGCUUGCUCUGGAGAAGCCAGAGGUCAUGUCGUGAGGAUACUCAAGUUGCCAUUUGGAGAGGUGCACAUGGUGAAGAAAUGAGGCCUACUGCCAAUGACCAUGAAUUCUUUGGCUAUUCUUAGGCCUUUUCUCAUCCAGAUAAGAUACUGAAUCAGCUUAUCAAGGGCCAACUUAUUGAAUUGUUAUUGAAUUUGAGAUGAAUCAAUAAAGAGAAAGGAGAGCCAUGAAAUUAGAAAAACUACCCUAAUUAAGUCUUCCCUUCUAAAAGUCAGGAAAACUAGCAUUACUUGAAAAUGAGUACCAAAAAAACUAAGGUCAAAUCCCAUACAAAGUCAUUAUGAAGAAAAAAAGAGAAUAAAACAUAAUUUCUUUAGAAAAUAAAUUAUGACAGAAAGCCAUGGCUUCAAAACAGAUGAAAACUAAAAUAUUUUAAAAUAAGUUAAUAAACAUCUAAAAUGACAUUAGAUAUGAAAAAAUGACGUGUCAGAUUUAGAAAUAUACAGAAAGGAGAUGACAAACUCAGAAAAGAAGUAAAAAUUUUAAAAACAUUUCAGAAAUGAAGAGAGAAAGAAACACGAGCAAAUAAACAGAACUGAUAAUGCAUUAAAAGAAAAGAUGAAAAAAUAUGAGGCUAUAAAAGAGACGUGUGGUACAGGAUAACGGUCACCCAAAGAUGUCCCCAUCCUAAUCUCCAGAACCUGUGCCUGUGUCACCUGACAUGGCAAAGUGACAGCAAAUGUGACUACCUUAUGGAUCUCAAGAGAGAAGCCUGAUCCUGGAUCAUCUGGCUGAGUCCAGCCUAAUUGCAUGGGUCCUUAACAGUGGAGAGUCGACUGCAGUGGUAUGAAGGAAAUGCAGCUAUGGAAGAAACGGUCUGAGAAAUGGUACAUUGCUGGCUUUGUGGAUGGAGGAAAGUGGUCAUGAGCCAAGGGAUGUGUACUACCUCUAGAAGCUGGAAAAGGGAAGAAAACAGAUUUGCCCUAAAGCCUCCAGAAUGAAAUCCAGACCUACUGACACCCUGGUUUUAGCUCAGUGAGACCCAUGGUGGGCUUCUGAAGGCAAAAUUGUAAGAUAAUAAAUGUGUUAAGACACUAAAUUUAUGGUGAUAUGCUACACAGUGGUAGAAAAUUAGUACAAGAUGAAAAAGAUUUAAAAGGAAAUGACAGAUAUACAUAUAUAGGAAACAGGCAAGGAAGACCCUGUACACAUGGGUACACGUGCAUGCGCACACACACACAGAUAUAUUAGUUCCUAAAGAAAUAAAAUCAGCCAGGCGCGGUGGCUCACGCCUGUAA
rnacentral:lncRNA from 1 species